GAACCCCACUUUGGAGCCUGGUCCUCUCAGCUCUGCAACAUCAGCUUGAGGAUCAGCCAGGAGUAAGGGACGCUGGGGCCUUGGUCCAGUGGAGAAUCUAGUGACAUAGGACUCUGGGAGUCAGGGCCUCUGUCUCAUGGGAAGGCUGGGCACUGAGGCCUUUACCGGAGGAGGCUGUGGCCGCCUCACUUGGAUCCCAAGACGGUGGGUCAGAUGGCUUGGAGGCACUGCCCAGGGGAUGGGGAUGAGCCCUCUGGAGUGGCCGUGGUCUGUACUUGAGUGUCUCAGAGAAAGGAGAAACUAGGGUGGGAACCUGCAGAGAGGGGAAGGGAGGAAGGACUCAAAGAGGAAGUUAGGCCUGGGGAAGAACAGGCUAGUCUGGCGCCAUGCUGAGUCAUUACCCACAGGGCCCAGGGCGGGCCCUCUAGGGGGCCACGGGCAGGGCGGAGGGGUCCCUGGGAAUCUGCAAGGAGGGUGGAGGGGGGGAGGAGGGCUUUCUUACAGCAGGAGUCAGCAAGAAGAGCAGAUGGCCUGAAGAAUAGCUGUGGACAGACAGACAGACAGUGCAGUCACCCAUAAAGUAGAAAGCACUACUAACAGCACUGGAGGGUGUAGUGUUUCCUACUUUAUGGAUGAGUGUACUGUGGGCUUCGGAGACCACGCCGCGCCGCGGCCACCUGCCACCGCCCAUCGUCCACCCCCGUCGAGGAGACAGGUGAGCAUCCCUCGCACGCACUUGCACAUUUUGCCGGUCUUCCCCCAACCCCCUCCCAACCCCAAACGACUUUCACUGCCCCCCAAAGCCCUGUGCUUCCUGACCCCAGACACGUGGGGAAAACACCGCGGCAGCUCUGGGCGGGUCCGAGUCUAUGAGGGUGGGGCUGGGCCUGUGGGUCUCCGUGCUGCGCCUGCAGGCCGACCUCGGAUUCCAGGAGGGAGGCCAGAUGGCUAGGAAUGGGUAGGGGUCACAGGGCCCGCAACACUAAUAAAGAACGGACUUGUUUA